rnacentral:rRNA from 1 species
UGAACGCUGGCGGCGUGCCUACUACAUGCACGUCGAGCGAACAGAUGCGGAGCUUGCUCCUCUGACGUUAGCGGCGGACGGGUGAGUAACACGUGGAUAACCUACCUAUAAGACUGGGAUAACUUCGGGAAACCGGAGCUAAUACCGGAUAAUAUAUUGAACCGCAUGGUUCAAUAGUGAAAGACGGUUUUGCUGUCACUUAUAGAUGGAUCCGCGCCGCAUUAGCUAGUUGGUAAGGUAACGGCUUACCAAGGCAACGAUGCGGAGCCGACCUGAGAGGGUGAUCGGCCACACUGGAACUGAGACACGGUCCAGACUCCUACGGGAGGCAGCAGUAGGGAAUCUUCCGCAAUGGGCGAAAGCCUGACGGAGCAACGCCGCGUGAGUGAUGAAGGUCUUCGGAUCGUAAAACUCUGUUAUUAGGGAAGAACAAAUGUGUAAGUAACUAUGCACGUCUUGACGGUACCUAAUCAGAAAGCCACGGCUAACUACGUG